rnacentral:rRNA from 1 species
AUGGCCGCCACCCGAGCGUGCUUGGUUGUGCUAGUCGUGGCUCUCACGUUUCUCUGCUUGGACGGCCGGGCGGCGGCGGCGCCGGCGACUGCUGGGAGUUUGGCUCAGCGGCGGCAGGAGGUGCAAAGCCUCCUCAGGCGGCUCAAUAAGCCUGCUCUCGCAACCAUUCAGAGCCCAGAUGGAGAUGUCAUCGACUGUGUGCAUAUCUCCAAACAGCCUGCAUUUGACCAUCCUCUCCUCAAGAACCAUACUAUCCAGAUGCGGCCUUCUUACCACCCAGGAGGCAUAUAUCAUAACUCCAACAUCGCCCCCCAUCCAAUCACCCAAACAUGGCAUCAAAAUGGCAAGUGCCCUAAGAACACCAUACCAAUCCGAAGGACCAAUGAGGACGACGUCUUAAGGGCCAUUUCCGUCGACAGGUAUGGCAAAAAGAGACCAGGGAGCAUCCCAAACACAAGUUCAAUCAAUGACCCUAACACAUCCAAUAUAAUGAGUGGGCACCAGUAUGCCAUAGCAUCUUCAAAUGUUGAUAAGUGCCAUGGAACGAAAGCCACCUUCAAUUUGUGGCAACCAACGAUUGGGAGGGACAAUGACUUCAGCUUGACCCAGCUUUGGAUAGUUGGGGGUUCCUACGAAGGCAAUGAUCUCAAUACUAUUGAAGCAGGAUGGCAGGUUUACCCAAAUUUUUAUAAGGAUAACAAUCCUAGACUCUUCAUCUACUGGACUCGUGAUGCAUAUGAAAGCACAGGAUGUUACAACCUAAAGUGCUCAGGGUUCGUCCAGAUGAAUAAUCAGAUUGCAAUUGGUGGCACCUUAUCCCCAGUAUCCACCUAUGGUGGUGCACAAUAUGACUUUGAUAUUUUAGUUUGGAAGGACCCAAAGGAGGGCAACUGGUGGCUGCAAAUGGGGAGUGAUUAUGUAGGAUAUUGGCCAUCAUCCAUUUUCACGUACUUGGCAGAUAGUGCCUCUACUAUACAAUGGGGAGGUGAGAUAGCGUCAUCUGAUCUCGGCCAAACUUCCACAGAUAUGGGUAGUGGACACUUCCCAGAGGAAGGGUUCGGCAAGGCCAGUCAUGUCAAGAAUAUACAAGUGGUAGAUUCAUCCAACAUUCUCAAACCGCCAAGUGAUGUGACCACUAUAGCUGGGCAGCGCAGCUGCUAUAACGUGCACAAUGGUAUCUCUGACAACUUGGGCACUUACAUAUUCUAUGGGGGCCCUGGGAAGAACUCUAACUGCCCAUGA